UCCCUACGGGACGCAGCAGUGAGGAAUUUUGGUCAAUGGGCUUACGCCUGAACCAGCCAAGGCGCGUGAGGGAAGACUGCCCUAUGGGUUGUAAACCUCUUUUGUCAGGGAGCAACGCCGGCUACGUGUAGCCGGACUGAGAGUACCUGAAGAAAAAGCAUCGGCUAACUCCGUGCCAGCAGCCGCGGUAAUACGGAGGAUGCGGGCGUUAUCCGGAUUGAUGGGGUUUAAAGGGUGCGUAGGCGGAAUGCCAAGUCAACGGUAAAGUCGCGGG
rnacentral:rRNA from 1 species